GCCAAGGUCCUCCAGGGGUGUAUUAUUUAUACUGUUCUGUCCCCAACAUAAUUGUCCAGGAAGAAAAAAAUUUGAAAUUGAAAUUAUUUAGUAGCUGCUCCAUUCAAAAAUAGUUUUGGAACUAAUGACACACACACACACACAACAUGGAAGAACCUCAAAAUAAUUAUUCUUAGCUAAAGUCAAAUGAAGAGGGUAUAUUGUAUGAUUUCAUUUAUAUAAAAUUCUAGAAAGUACAAACUAUAGUGGCAGUGGAUUACUGAUUGCCUGAGGAGGGCAAUUGUUGAUGGUGAGAGGAGAAGGAAGAAGGGCUUGAGAAGACUUUUGAUAGUGGCAAAUCAUUAUUUUGACUGUAGCAGUGGAUUCAAGAAUUUAACAUAUGUUAAAACUUAUUAGAUUGUACACUUUAAAUAUGUACAGUUUAAGACAUAAGAAAAAUAGUUUUGUCCUCCAGGGUAAAAUAGUGUGCCCAGGGUAAAUUCCUAGAAUCCUACUUAUUUAGCAUGGGAUGGGAACUUGGAGAUGGUGGGAACUACCAAAUAAAACAAAAGGUCAUUUAAAAGCUGAAGUCAAGAACACAUCUCCAGAGGGUUUCUUAU
rnacentral:lncRNA from 10 species